rnacentral:misc_RNA from 1 species
CGACAGUACGUACAUACGAGCGUGUGCGUGGUUUCUGCACUAUUCCGCGGCUCUCAUGUCUGUCUUCUACCCACUGCAACUAUUCGUCUUCUCUGGCGCGUGCACUUGAGCUUGCGCUCGCACAGGCACGGCGGCAGCCGUAGAUACAGAGCUUGCUGCUUUGUGUCCGUUGCGGCCUGCCCUCAUUCUUUUUCCACUUCCGUUCGCCUACUGUUUCUCGACGCUGCUGCAGCUCUGCCGCCCUCUCACGUAGCACCUUGGCGCUGUAGCUGCCGUUGCUGCUGUAGCUCUGGACGCUGCUGCUCUGGCGGUGUUCCGUCUUCGCUGUCGCCCUCUCACGUAGCACCUUGGCGCUGUAGCUGCCGUUGCUGCUGUAGCUCUGGACGCUGCUGCUCUGGCGGUGUUCCGUCUUCGCUGUCGCCCUCUCACGUAGCACCUUGGCGCUGUAGCUGCCGUUGCUGCUGUAGCUCUGGACGCUGCUGCUCUGGCGGUGUUCCGUCUUCGCUGUCGCCCUCUCAACGACGCAUUGCGUUUCCGCUUCCUUUCGUUUUUUCUUUUUUUUUUUCGUCUUCACGGCUGCGGCAGCGCUUGUCGCUCUCACGCCGCUUUCCUUCUCCAACUUCUCCCCGCUCUCUCUCUCUCACGCACACACAUCACUUUUACAACCACAGAUGCACUCGGCGUCGUUGCCGUCGUCUUUGGCGGUGCCUCAGCCGCAGUGGCCGCAGUUUGCACAGAUGCGCGACUUCGUCUACACCCACACACAGCCGCAGUGGGGCGACGUGCGCACCGCCACCACAAGCAGCACGACGCCAGCGCAGCGACGCGCAGAUACAGAUAACAUGACAUCCCUGACCCAAAGCGUUACCGACAUGUGGGUGCCGAUCAUCGUGCGCCCGGCGCCACUGGAGGGUCACCGUGUCUGCACAACGUGCCAGCGUGCGAAGGAGGGCUGCAUUUGCACGACAUGCUCUGUUUGCCGGUCCCGCUUCCGCUUCCACACCAAUCGGCAUCACUGCCGCCGCUGCUGGCACGCUGUGUGCUCCGGCUGCUGGGGAUAUCGACACUACGUACACAUGCUUGGGCGGCAGAUGAUGGUGUGCGACCGCUGCUCCACGCUAUGGGCGCUGGCGAACCUCGCCACGCGCGGUGACGGCGGCCUUCUGUGGGGGCUGUACAUAUUGCGGACAGCGGGGCCCAUGCCUCGCAUGUGCAUCGGCCCGUCGUGCCGUAUCCUGACACGUCAACUGGUGUGCUACGGGUGUGGGCUGCCCACCGUUGUCACGCAGCCGCACACCGCACGUGUGGUCCGCCCGAACGGGUUGUCCAAGAGCGUGAUGGACGACGUCAGGGUGCUUGACGUGCAGCAGCUCUCGCUGCGCGCCAUGGAGGUGGGCGGCAUGACGACCACGCAGGUGGAGCGCAUGUUUCGCGGGCUCUUCCGCCGCUACGAAGAGAUGCUCGCCUUCCGCGCCAUCACCACCGCCGUUCUGGCACAGCGAGUGCUGCUUUCCAUGGUGGCUUCGGCAAUCGCGUACGAGUACCUCGGAGCGCCAAACAUCACCUUGAGUCUGUCUGACAUCCCGUACGCACGUGCACUGCGCAUCACCGUAGCACGGGAGCGUUACACAAUCCUUGAGGCGCCAGGUCGCGUUAAGUUCAUUGCCUUUCCCGGAACGCACAACUGGCGGACGCGUUGGGUGGACAUGCAGUUUGCGCGUGUCACGGAGACUGUGUGGUCGACGUUGCACGAAGGCGUCUGUCUGACUACGACAGCGGAGGACCAAGAGGGGGCCGACCACGCUGAGGCAACGGUGAUACUCAACGGCGGUGUUCGGAAGGUGUGGGAGUACCAGGUGCACAAGGGCUUCGCGCAAGAGGCGCAAGAGGUUGGACUGCCCUUCGACACGCUUCUGGAAGACGUCCGCAGUGGCGGUUAUACCCUUGUCCUGUGCGGCCAUUCGCUGGGCGGGGCCACUGCGCAGUACUUGAGUCUGCAGAUGCUGCACCGACGUGCUUCUCUGCUGGUGCCCCGCGGCUCGCAGGAGGAGACACCGCGACUGCUGUGCGUCUCACUCGGUGCGCCGCUGCUCGGCAACUACGAGCUGGCCGACCACGUACAGGGCUGCGGCUGGACGCAUAUCUUCCACAACUUUGUCCACCGCAGCGACAUUGUGCCGCGCCUGUCGUGCACGGACGAACUCGCUUGGGACGCGCAGUCGCGACUUAAGCAGCUCGUCACAUCCGUCUUCACGGCAGCCCAGAGCUGGUGGAGGGGCGGCGGCAGUCAAAGCAGCCCCGCGAGUGCGGCGUCGCCAGCAGCAAAUACCGCUGCCUCCUCCGCCGCGACUGUAGCAGCCAACACCCCCACCCUCAGCUCCGGCAGGAUCUCCACCGCGCUGGCACGCUUGCGCGCCAAGACGCCGUCCGGCACUUCCUUUGCUGACGCUUCUCCAGGUGCUGGCGCUUCAGCUACGUCUGCACUCUUCUCGAUGAACGACGCGGCGGGCAAGGAGACCGCCGCGCCGGAGGAGGAAGACAUCUCUGACGGGUCAUCUGCAUUGUGGGAAGAGCAAGCGCAGCUCGCCGCGUACGCCGAUACCACCCUCCGCAACAGCCGUGACGCGCUGGAGAACGACACGCCAGCACCAUCUCGUGAGGCGGCAGCGCAGCUGGACGCCGAAGUGGAGGCGGCCCUCCACGAUUUCAAAAGCCGAUGUACGCGCAGGUGCGGCGCCGCGUCUAGGCCAUUGAGCACCGUGUAUCACUCGUGUCGUGAAGAUGGUGGCUCUGGGCCCGACGUCGCCGAUGAGCCGGUCACACCUUCUGAAGUUGGGGUUGCGGCGGACACGGUGGCUGAUGUAGUGCUGCCGGUGUCUUCGCGCCGCGUGCACCGCCGCUUCACGUGCUUCGGCCGCUAUCAUUUUAUCCAAUACGGUGCCUACGGGUAUGUGUCGACCGACGACUCGGAGACCGCCUUCGCGGUGUUGAAGCACGGCUGCGGGGAGGCCUCGGUUUUGGGUGAUCACUCUGUGGAGGCUUACAAUCGAGGGGUGAUGAUCCACCUCUACCGCAACACCGAGUCUUAGCUGUUUGGUCACGCAUCAUUAUGCGGUGAUGGGGAGGGGGUGAAAGAGAUGUAUGGCGCCGGCAGGGCCGUGAGGCGUGUGUGAGAAGGUGUCUGUGUACGUGUAGACAGCUACGCCGCCCCGCGCUCUUGCCCCCGGUUUCUCGCUCUUCAUCUUUCUAUCACUCCACCACUGGCAUGCACACACAUACGACGGAAGCGGCAGACCUGAAAGCACUCAUUUCUUCUCUCGGCGUUAUACUACCGUCCUCUGCUGAACACGUUUUGUUGUGUUAUUGUUUCCGUUUUCCUUCUCUGCCUUCCGCAGCUCACGCGUCCGGUCGCCGACCGCCUCUGCAUCGGCACCGGAACAGCAGAUGCACAACCGCAUGUUAGCAUCAACACGUUUUUCUGCUCUUCUCCGUUCACCCGAUGAUGCUGUGGGGUGGGGGGGAGGGAAUCACCUCUCCGUGCGUGGUAUCAACAAGGGUCCAGUGCACCCCCCCCUCCCCACACACACACUCUCUCUCUCUCGGGGAGGAAGCCACGCAGCCCCUGGUCCUUGCCAAUGCCAAAGGACUUCCUGGCGGUGACGGCGCCAAGUGCCUAGGACGUGGGGAAGUCAGAGGGAUUCAUUGCGACUCAUGGCGGCGGCGAGGUCGUGGAUGGUGAUGCGUCGGAGCGACCUGCGACCGUGAACACGCUUGUGCCAUCCAUAUGAUGGGCAAAGUGUCCGCGUAACUCGAACGAAUCCCACCCACCCCCGAUUUUCACUGCCCACUGGUAGAGGAGCCUGCGCCACCCCGAAGGGGAUGCACCGGGUGGCGGCGUGGGAAGUGGGUGGGCGGAGCUCGAGUCAGAGGCCGUGCUCAGAUGACUGGGUCGGCGCAUUGCUGCAACGCGUGUGUACGGCUGCUUCGCACCACGCGAUGUGGGGCCUGUGGCAGGCCUGGGCUUGAGUGGAGUUCAACUUACGUUGAAUGGAAGAGUGAAAUGGAUGUGCUGAG